AAUGUUAGAUUUUUUUAGUUUAAAGAAUUAUUUUUAAGAAAUAAGAUUUUAAUGAAUUUUUUAUUUUUAAAUUUAUAAUAAAGAGUUAGUUUCACGCUCAAAAUUAUAUUUUCAGGGGGCAGGUUGGAAGGAGAACCGUUUGGAAGGGGAUGUGGGUGGAGGCGAUAAAGAUGCCCAUGAUUCGAAUUUGGAUGAAAUGGUUAGAAAGGUUAGCCAUGAUGGAAACAUAAGUUUGAAUGCUACUAUGUUGACUCCAAAACCAAUUUUAUCUGGAAAUGAAAAAGCUCUUGUUGCAGUUGAGCCUAGUGUCUCUAGGCUUGUUUCUCAACUUAAUAGGCCCAUGAAAAAAAGAAAAGAAAUAGAAGAAACAAGGGUGGUAGUUCUGGCUACUAUGUUUGAGGCCUCAUUUCAGAAAGAAAAUAUGGUAGUCAGUGAUUUAAACAAGCAAGAGGCAGGUCUUGUUUGGCAGGCCCGCCUUCACCAAUGAGUUGCCUUGUAUGGAACUGUAGGGGCCUUGGGAACCAGCUUACAGUACGACAAUUACAGUCCCUAGUUAAGGAAAGGCACCCGAUUUUAGUAUUUCUUAUUGAAAUAAUUUGUAAUUCUUCUAAGUUCGACAAAGUUCAAAGCGAGGUGGCGACUUUAAUGAGUUGCUAUUGGAAUCUGAGAAAAGUGGUGGAAGAGCUCAUCCUACUACACUUAUCAAUGCUUUUCAAGAUGCUAUUACAAAUUGUAGUCUUGUUGAUUUGGGGUUUUUGGGGCAUGCAUUUACAUAAGAGAGGGGACGAGGCACGAAUCAUUUUGUUAAGGAAUGUUUAGAUCGUUUUUUAGCUUCACAAGCUUGGCUUUAGAGGUUUCCUCAUUUUUAAGUAUUGCAUUUGCAACCUCCGAUGAGGGACAUUGCCCAAUCUUUUUAUCUUGUGGACUACGGUCAAGUAAUCAAAAUCAGUUUCGUCUUAAGCCGUCUGAGCAGCUUUGGCUACUACAUGAUGACUGUAAAGAAACGAUGAAUGAGGCAUGGCAACGCUUUGCGAGAAGUGGCGAUAUCGUUAAGUGGCUUUCUUCUUAUCUUUCAUAUUUGGAUGUUUAAGAAAGACAUAAAUACUCCCAAUUAUUAAAAGAAAUUGCAGAAUGUAGGGAAAAGAUAACAGUGUUGAAGCAAUCUUCUGGUUCUGAUAAUGAAAGAGGCCAGAUUUUACAUCUGCAAUAGCGUAUGGAUAGCCUUUUGGAGAAAGAGGAAGUGUAUUGGAGGUAAAGGGCUUGAAUUCAAUGGCUUCGUGAGGGAGACUGUAACAACAGAUUUUUUUUCAUCAAGUGGAUUUUUAGAGGAAACGAGGGUAUACCAUUCGUGGACUAUAUGAUGUUGAUGGUUAUUGGGUCUCAGAUGAUAUGAGUAUGGGUAAUAUUGUGCUAAACUAUUUUAACAUUAUUUUCUUCUUAUGGAUAGUGAUGGAUGAUUCAAUUUUUGUUGGAAUGUGGAGUAGAGUGACUGAGAGCCAGAAUUCAGCAUUUCUACAGCCCUUUCAGCAGGUGGAGAUUCAGGAGGCUUUACUACAGAUGGAUCCUCACAAGGCUCCAGGUCCGAACAGUUUAAUAGGUUCCUUUUAUGUCAAUUUUUGGAACAUUGUUAAGAGUGAUGUUUCUUCUACUUGUUUGGCUAUUUUAAAUGGCAUGCCUAUUCCUCCAUGUUUUAAUCAUAUUAAUAUUGUGCUUAUUCCGAAGGUUAAACUCUUGUGCGUAUGAUGGAUUUACAUAUGAUAAGUCUUUGUAAUGUAAUUUAUAAGUUGGUCUCUAAAGUACUAGUGAAUCAUAUGAAAAGUAUCCUGUCGCUUUUAGUAUUAGAAGAACAAAGUGACUUUGUGCCUAGUA